UCCGAGGAGCAGUGAAAACUAAGUUCUGUGAGGCGUUUAAAGACGCGGAGGUGACUGAAAGUGCAAGAGUCACAACUCAGCAGAGACGCAGGAGGAACUUCAUGCGUCUGUGAAGGAGAAGAAACAUGGAACGUCAUGAGAGCUGUGGGCGUCUUCGGGAUUGUCAUCAUCACUCCUGCUUGGGGACGUCCUCUUCUCUAAGGACAUGUGGCUGUUCCAGGGGGAGAAUGUGACAGAAGGCUUUAGAAAAUAACAGUCUGAGGUGAGGUAAUCACAUGGAAACAGCAGAACGGACACCUUUAGAUUCUCUAUUCCCAGGAGGUACAUGGAGCGUUCCACCCCCUCUCUCAGUCUCGAAAUGGAAACAUCCUCUUAGACUCUUGGGAUGCACAUCUGAAAUUCAUCCAUCAGUUCUCUCUGGUGUAUAUAAAUAUCCAUGUGGAGCAGUCACCCACACGGGUUUGUCCUAUAAUAUGGGAGCCACAGAUGGGAAUGGAUGGGUGUGAUUCAAGUAGGUGGUAAAAUGCUGCGAGCGAA